GUUAGACAAAAGGAAUUAAAAGAAAAGGAUCAAGACUUACUACAACAUACUGAUGUUAUUUCUUAUAUUAUACUUG